rnacentral:rRNA from 1 species
UACGGAGGGUGCGAGCGUUGUCCGGAUUUAUUGGGUUUAAAGGGUGCGUAGGCGGCUUUUUAAGUCUGGGGUGAAAGCCCGCUGCUCAACAGCGGAACUGCCCUGGAUACUGGAGAGCCUGAGUACAGACGAGGUUGGCGGAAUGGACUGAGUAGCGGUGAAAUGCAUAGAUACAGUCCAGAACCCCGAUUGCGAAGGCAGCUGACUAGGCUGUUACUGACGCUGAGGCACGAAAGCGUGGGGAGCGAACAGG